GCAGAGAGAGAGGGAGGUGCAGAAUCCUAAGCAGGCUCCAAGCUCUGAGCUGUCCACACAGAGCCCAACGUAGGGCUCGAACUCACAAACUGCGAGAUCAUGACCUGAGCCAAAGCCAGAUUCCCAACCGACUGAGCCACCCAAGCACCCCAGAAGUUAUUAAGUUUAAACGAGGUCAUAAAGUUUAAAUGAGGUCAUAAGAAUGGGGCCCUGAUCCCAAAUGACUGGUGUCCUUGUAGAAAGUGAGAGACGCUGGGGAUGUACGCACAGAGAAAAGGCUAUGUGAGAACGCCAUGAGACGGCAGUUUACCGCAAGGAAAGAGGUCUUAUGAGAAACCUGCCCUUGGACUUGCCGGCACCCUGCCCUUGGACUUGCAGCCCCCAGAACUGUGAGAAAGCAAAUUUCUGUUAUUUAAUACAACCCAGUCUGUGGUAUUUUGUUAUAGCAGCAGGCUAAUGCGGCAGAUAACAAGCAAACAAGUAAAUAUAUAAUGUCAGGGAAUGAUAAGGGAGCACUUUGAAGAACAGUGGAGCAAGGUCUUUGCUGUCCAAUAGAGAAGAUGCUGGAGGAGAGCAAGUGUGGAAACACAGAGACCAAUUAGGAAGCUGCCGAGACCGAGCGCGAGCAGGGGAGGGGCAGAGAGAGGGAGACACAGAAUCUGAAGCAGGCUCCAGGCUCCGAGCUGUCACAACAGAGCCCGACACGGGGCUUGAACUCAAGGCUGCGAGAUCAUGACCUGAGCCGAAGUCAGCCGCCCAACCGACUGAGCCGCCCAGGAGCCCCCUGAAUCGUAUUUUUAAAUAUACUAUGGGAGCUUGUUAUAAAGAAAAAGUAAAACUCUAAUAAUUUUUUGAAGCCCUGCAUAAUUCUGUAAUACAAAUGACAUUCUAAUUCAUUUCUUUGCAAAUUCAGAUUUUAAUGUGGCACAAUCGAUGUGUCUCAGGUGGAACGGAAUUGGAUUUUCUUUUUUCUUUUCAAGUUUAUUUAUUUUGAGAGACAGAAAGAACACACGCAGGUGAGGGGGGGAGAGGAGGAGACAGAAUGCCAAGCAGGCUCUGUGCCAUCAGGGCCAUCUGUGCCCGAUGUGGGGCUUGAACUCACAUACUCCAAGAUCAUGACCUGAGCCAAGAUCAAGAGUCCGAUGUUUAACCGACUGAGGCACCCGGGCACCCCCAGAACUGAAUUUGCUAAUGACUGAAUUUCUGCGAUACGAUAGAUACUGUUUUGUUUUUUCUUUUGUUUUUUAAUUUUUUUUAACGUUUAUUCAUUUUUGAGACAGAGAGAGACAGAGCAUGAGUGGGGGAAGGGCAGAGAGAGAGGGAGACACAGAAUCUGAAACAGGCUCCAGGCUCUAAGCGGUCAGCCCAGAGCCCGACGCGGGGCUCGAACUCGCGGACCACG